rnacentral:rRNA from 1 species
AUUGAACGCUGGCGGCAGGCCUAACACCUGCAAGUCGAGCGGAGCGGCGGACGGGUGCGUAAUGCAUAUGAAUCUGCAUGUUCGUGGGGGAGGACGUCCAGCAACGAGCGCUAAUACCGCCAACUAUCAGAUGAGCCUAGGUCGGAUUAGGUAGUUGGUGGGGUAACGGCUCACAAAGGCGACGAUCCGGAGCUGGUCUGAGAGGAUGAUCAGUCACACGGGAACUGAGACACGGGCCAGACUCCUACGGGAGGCAGAAGUGGGGAAUAUUGGACAAUGGGCGAAAGCCUGAUUCAGCCAUGCCGCGUGUGUGAAGAAGGUCUGCGGAUUGUAAAGCACUUGCAGUUGGGAGGCGUUACCAACAGAAUAAGCACCGGCUAACUUCGUGCCAGCAGCCGCGGUAAUAC